rnacentral:pre_miRNA from 1 species
AAAAGAAUAACAGAGUGAUUCUCGUUUGGCAGAGACGACGACAUGCGAAUGCAUACAUAUUCUUUGCCAAAGGAGAAUUGCCCUGCCAUUCAAUC